rnacentral:rRNA from 1 species
UGCCAGCCGCCGCGGUAAUACGGAGGGUGCAAGCGUUGUUCGGAAUUACUGGGCGUAAAGCGCACGUAGGCGGACUGGAAGGUUGGGGGUGAAAUCCCAGGGCUCAACCCUGGAACUGCCUCCAAAACUAUCAGUCUAGAGUUCGAGAGAGGUGAGUGGAAUUCCGAGUGUAGGGGUGAAAUCCGUAGAUAUUCGGAGGAACACCAGUGGCGAAGGCGGCUUUCUGGACCGAUACUGACGCUGAGACGCGAAAGCAAGGGGAGCGAACAGGAUUAGAUA